CUAUGCACUGCACAUUCCCUGACUGAAACCAAAAAAUAGACCAGCAAAGCAAACUAAUUGAAACAUGGUACUCUGCAUCUCACUUCAGCACCAUCGCUCCACUCUAGAGCUGCACAGUUCAGAGUUAAUAGACUGCCGUGUCAGGGAUGCCACUCACCGGGGUGAAACGCAACUCAAUGGUCUGUGAGAACAUACAUGCAAUACAGAGGACCUAAGAAUGUUUUUCAUGGAUACCAAAGAGGAGUCAGAUGCAUGGAUACCAAAGAGGAGUCAUGGAUACCAAAGUAAUAUUGUACUGCUGCCUGGAGUCCGUGGCCCGCUGCACUGGCAUUUUCACUGAAGACUUAUUACUUCUGCAGACAUCUUCAAGGGAGUGAAUUUAAGGAAGUGAGUAGCUAUGCUUUUAUGAAAGCAAAUGCAUAAAAAGGCUGUAUACUACUUUAUAAAGUGUUCAGGGGUUGCGGUGCUUUUUUUUUAAAAUAUAAAUUAUUCAGUUACAAUGAUG
rnacentral:lncRNA from 1 species